rnacentral:rRNA from 1 species
GAUUGCGAUCAUACCAGCACUAAUGCACCGGAUCCCAUCAGGACUCCGUAGUUAAGCGUGCUUGGGUGAGAGUAGUACUAAGAUGGGUGACCCCCUGGGAAGUCCUCGUGUUGCAACUC